CUGGUUUCCUGAAGGCCAAGUGAUUGCUCUGUCUUCUUAGCUCCAGUUGCCAUUGAGACAAAGUGAAAUUGUACCUUGGCAUACCAGAGGACUCAACGUAAAUGCAUGGGAUCGACUUACAAACUCCACCCAAACAACCCCAAAACUUCACCCUGGCAUGGAGUGUGGGAUUGCAUCGUUUAUGCUAAAUUUCCGGUGUCUAGAACAACCGACUUACUGUACUAACCAAGUGGCUGAACUGGUUCAAGAGAACAGCUAUACAUGCUAUGGAACUACAACAUUGACUCUCCAUAUCUGAAAGGCACCUCAUUUUUUAUUUCCACUUUAUAAAGUGCACAGACAAGAUAACAACUUCCAUUCUAGCCGAACAUCUAAAUCUGUGUGAGAAUCAGAACUGAGCAAAAGACCAAAACUGGCAUGUAUGGAUGUCCCUUGGCAAGACUGCAAUACUUGGACGUGAUCUAUUACCAGCAUACAGCUUUGAAACAUGGAGACAAUAAUUUAAACAGAGGAGUUGUGUGUGUUUUUUGCCUAGAAUUAAUUUUCAUUAGCUUGUUUUGUGCUGGUGAACUCUGUGGGAAUUGGUGGAAAAUAUAGCAAAGAUGUACUCAAAUAAACAAUAAAGUAGAAAACACAUUUUAUUAUGAA